UUAGAGUUCAUGACAUGGAUAUUAAAUACACACAUCCUUGUGACGACUAUGUCGAGAUUAGUGAGGUUGAGCCAUGCUGCUUUACUGUAUUUAAAAGAUGUGGCAAAUUAAAGGACAGGGUCUUUUACGCAAAAGGGAAUCAGAUAAGAGUAUCGUUUUUAUCUGACAGAAUUCUGAAUGCAAAAGGAUUUAAUCUUUCUUGGACAGUUGCUUUGCCACCAACAACACCACGGCUAA